rnacentral:rRNA from 1 species
UACGUAGGGGGCAAGCGUUGAUCGGAAUUACUGGGCUUAAAGCGCGCGUAGGUGGUUUGUUAAGUUGAAUGUGAAAUCCCCGGGCUCAACCUGGGAACUGCAGUCGAGACUGUCUAGCUAGAGUAUGGGAGAGGGAAGUGGAAUUUCAGGUGUAGCGGUGAAAUGCGUAGAUAUCUGAAGGAACAUCAGUGGCGAAAGCGACUUCCUGGACCAAUACUGACGCUCAUGUGCGAAAGCGUGGGGAGCAAACAGG